UACGGGGGGAGCAAGCGUUGUUCGGAUUUACUGGGCGUAAAGGGCGCGUAGGCGGCCAUCGCAAGUCGACGGGGAAAUCUCCGGGCUUAACCCGGAAAGGCCAGCCGAUACUGCGGGGCUAGAGUGCAGAAGGGGCGACUGGAAUUCUCGGUGUAGCGGUGAAAUGCGUAGAUAUCGAGAGGAACACCUGCGGCGAAGGCGGGUUGCUGGGCUGACACUGACGCUGAGGCGCGAAAGCUAGGGGAGCGAACAGG
rnacentral:rRNA from 1 species